rnacentral:rRNA from 1 species
GACGAACGCUGGCGGCGUGCUUAACACAUGCAAGUCGAACGGAAAGGCCCUGCUUUUGUGGGGUGCUCGAGUGGCGAACGGGUGAGUAACACGUGAGUAACCUGCCCUUGACUUUGGGAUAACUUCAGGAAACUGGGGCUAAUACCGGAUAGGAGCUCCUGCUGCAUGGUGGGGGUUGGAAAGUUUCGGCGGUUGGGGAUGGACUCGCGGCUUAUCAGCUUGUUGGUGGGGUAGUGGCUUACCAAGGCUUUGACGGGUAGCCGGCCUGAGAGGGUGACCGGCCACAUUGGGACUGCGAUACGGCCCAGACUCCUACGGGAGGCAGCAGUGAGGAAUAUUGCACAAUGGGCGGAAGCCUGAUGCAGCAACGCCGCGUGCGGGAUGACGGCCUUCGGAUUGUAAACCGCUUUCGCCUGUGACGAAGCGUGAGUGACGGUAAUGGGUAAAGAAGCACCGGCUAACUACGUG